rnacentral:lncRNA from 1 species
AAGAGUAAAGUACUUCCGCUUCCUUAGGUGGAGCUGGAAAGGUGGAGGCGGAAGUGACUGAUCAAUUCAGGGGCGUGGGGUUCGUUUAGGUUUUGCCCUGUGUAUGACCUCGUUUGGAGCCAUGAAACCAGGGCACUGAAGAUAUUAUUUAUAUUCAGAGGCUAUGUUGGUUUGGAGAAGGAAAGGUCACCAUGUGUGAUGACUACAUCCAAAGAGAGUGAGUGGCUUGAGACAUUGGUAGUAUGUGUAUCUGAUCAUAUCAAUAUGUUAAAAUGACGUUCAAAGUAUGAUCUACCUCAGAAUAAUCUAGAUGUCUGAGGAAUAGUCUUAGUGGAUUAUCCCAAACUUGACACAUUUUUUGCAAAAUGCUAUACAAAAAGAAGAUACAUGCGAUUAUGACAAGAUUCUCCACUUGGUGUGACCAGUCUCAUACAACCCAAGGCUGUGUGUCCAAAGGCAACUGUACUGAUCUUGACAAUAAUCAAAAGGUAGCCAGGUGCAUCGGGGAAAGCACUGACAUUGGAGUCAGACAGACUGAAGUUCAUAUCUGAUUCUGCUAUAUGACAACGUGUGGGCUAUGUGGCUAACUUCUCAGAGCUUCAGUUUUCUCAAGGGCAAAAUGAAAAUAAUAGAAAUAAUAGAAUCCACCUCACAGGGCUGUGGUGAGAAUUGGAGAUGAAGCACAUACAGCAUAUUACAUCAACUAAACACAUGCUAAGCACAUGACAGAAUUGCUCUGUUGAAGUUUUGCAAGGUCAAAUGACUCACUUUGUCUAAUGGAACGGGAACGAACAAUUUUUUUGUGUCACGUUUGAACAGAUACCUUUGAGAAGUUUAUGAUUCUCCAAGUUCUCUUUCUCCUACUGUGGCACCUACUGACAAGAUAAAUGUGUAGAGGUUCCUGAGUCUAGGGGCACUGGAACCAGCUGACUGAUCUAUGGAAGUUCCCUUGGUCUCCAUUUGUUUAGAAAAGCUGCAAUAAAGCAUAACCAGGAGUACAACAGAUUUCAAUUUCUGUGAGUCCUUCUAGCAAAUUGCCAAAACUGAAGAUGGCUUUGGGAACAUCCAAAGUUAUACCAGAGCUUUCAUGGUGAAAGAAGAGGGCAAAACUCAACCCGUCUCUUUAGACUUGGGAAGAAUAUGAAAGGACCAGGAGGGACACCUUUCCUAAUAACCUAGCUGAUGGUUCACUUAUUAGGCUGGAAAGCUGAAAAAUGACAUUCCCAGACUCCAUUGAAAUUAGAUUUCCAGAGAGUUGUCUCACUAAGCCCAAAUUUGUCUAACUGGCCUUAUUUCCCUGGAGUAUAUCCUGGAAGUUUCCAUUCAAGCCAAUUUAAGUUACUUUAAAUUAGGAAAGGCAGAAAACAAAAGCCCAAACCUUUGUAAAGGAGGAGGAUUUGCUACAUUGUUCUCAAUUCAUCACAGAAGAGGAUGAAACUGAGUGAUUACACUUGCUGGAGAGAAAAAAAGUCCUUCCCCCGCUCACCCCAAAUAAAGCAUUAACUUUAUGUUAAUCCAUGAA